rnacentral:rRNA from 1 species
AACGAACGCUGGCGCAUGCCUAACACAUGCAAGUCGCACGAGACCUUCGGGUCUAGUGGCGCACGGGUGCGUAACGCGUGGGAACCUGCCCUUAGGUUCGGAAUAACUCCCCGAAAGGGGUGCUAAUACCGGAUAAUGUCUUCGGACCAAAGAUUUAUCGCCUUUGGAUGGGCCCGCGUUGGAUUAGCUAGUUGGUAGGGUAAAAGCCUACCAAGGCGACGAUCCAUAGCUGGUCUGAGAGGAUGAUCAGCCACACUGGGACUGAGACACGGCCCAGACUCCUACGGGAGGCAGCAGUGGGGAAUAUUGGACAAUGGGCGAAAGCCUGAUCCAGCAAUGCCGCGUGAGUGAUGAAGGCCUUAGGGUUGUAAAGCUCUUUUACCCGGGAUGAUAAUGACAGUACCGGGAGAAUAAGCUCCGGCUAACUCCGUG